GGCAAGGUCCCUCACUUGGUGUAGGAAGUCAUACUGCCUGGGAUUCUAGAGGAAAAUCCCUGGGCCUUAUGUUGUUGUAGGAGAUCAUGCAAGUCAGGCCCCAGGACAAAGUUCAUGGGUAUCUUAUGUGGCCCUAAAGGGAAGUCAGAAUCUUUCAUCUGGUUCUGGAGUUUCUGGAACAUCAGAGGUAGCCUAAGCCUAGAACUCAGAGUCCCUCCCUUUCUGAAGGAGUCCUAGUACUUAAUUCUCAUACUAUUGUAACUUAUUCUAAAAUUGUGAAUGUAUGUAAAAUAUGCAAUCAGCCAUAGUUGCCCUUUUUAGUUGAAUGGAUGGUUCAAAUCUUGGGUGACAUUGUUUUAAUUUUCAGUUUAAAAACUCCUUAAUUUACAUAAUCUCUUACAGAUUGAUGCUAUAAGAGCAUGCUUUUGUGCAUGUUUCACCAAAAAACGGAGCUCUUCUUCCCACUACAAGAAAUAGAAGAGAAAACAUAAAAAAGUGAUGAACUUGGACAAGCCUACGACAAUUGCCUGACAACUUCUCCGACCAUCCACAAUAAGACAACUCAGGAGAAAAUCUGUCUCUUCUCCAAUAAUUGCUUCAAAAAAAGCACAUUUUUAUUUUAUGUUUUAGAAUAAUAUAGUAUUAUAUUACAUAAUCUUCAGUGUUAUUUUCACCUAUUUAUUUUGUUUUAUUAUGUUAUACUAUAUUACACUAUUAUAUUAUCUUGUUUUUAUUUCCAUA